UACGUAGGGGGCGAGCGUUGUCCGGAAUUAUUGGGCGUAAAGAGCGUGUAGGCGGUCCGGUAAGUCCGCUGUGAAAGUCCAGGGCUCAACCCUGGAAUGCCGGUGGAUACUGCCGGGCUAGAGUCCGGAAGAGGCGAGUGGAAUUCCUGGUGUAGCGGUGAAAUGCGCAGAUAUCAGGAGGAACACCGAUGGCGAAGGCAGCUCGCUGGAACGGUACUGACGCUGAGGCGCGAAAGCGUGGGGAGCGAACAGG
rnacentral:rRNA from 1 species